AGCAAAUCAUAAGAUAAAAGUUGGUAUAUUUUAUUUACUUCCAAACAUCCAUACAUGCCAGUACUGUGACUGUCUGUGGAGAGCAUGGAUAAACAUUAUAAAAUGAUUCUAAAAUUAAAAACAAAAUGGAUAUGUUACUUGGUUUAUAAAUUAUUUAAAUGCUUAUUGCUUAUAACAACAUAUGUAAAUACCAGUGUCAUGUGACCAGCACAAUGACCUAAAUAUUUUUCACAACUAACACCAUGCACCCCUUAGAGAUGGGACAUUUUAAAAAUCAAUCAUUCAUCUAGAUUUGAGAUUUGGACCUUCAUUUUGGCAGCAAAGGUCUCAGUAAUGUGUCAAAAUGGCUUGUAGAAUAUUUGUAUGCUGGUACUCUAAGAUCAUGUUUGUACCUAGCUCUAAGAUCAAGUUU